UACAGAGGGUGCAAGCGUUGUUCGGAAUCAUUGGGCGUAAAGGGCGCGUAGGCGGUCUGCUAAGUUGGAUGUGAAAACUCUGGGCUUAACCCAGAGCCUGCAUUCAAUACUGACAGGCUAGAGUUCUGGAGGGGAUAGCGGAAUUCCUGGUGUAGCGGUGAAAUGCGUAGAUAUCAGGAGGAACACCGGUGGCGAAGGCGGCUGUCUGGACAGAAACUGACGCUGAGGCGCGAAAGCUAGGGGAGCAAACAGG
rnacentral:rRNA from 1 species